UGUAAUGAAAUGUCACGUAGUUGGCUUGCAUAAUAGUGCGAGAAGGUAGCUUGUGUCUUGCUGCAAAAUCGCCUUAUACGUGGCGCGCCAGGCAGAUGUGGACCAACGAUUUUCGUGCCGUGCAGUGCUUUGCCUUGGUUUGUGGUUGUGGAUAGUUGGGGUGCACGUUACAAAGAAAGCAUGUGAAUUAUUAGCGUGCCUGAGCUCGUGGGGGUCCACUACGCAGCGGCAUGUAUGCUGGGACAGCGGCUCCUUUAUUUUUAGAAAAAUAGACGAGGCGCUGGCUGGGAGUAACAUCGUCGACGCAGCACCGGCAACUUGGAGAGCGCUUUUCGACCGCGUCGUACCAUUGGAAAGUGGCGAGGCUGUGACCACAUAACGGAGGGGACUCCUUGGCUAUGGCUGCCAUGGUGCAAUGUGUAAUCUGGAUGGUCGAGUCAGGUACACCUAGGAAAUGUAUACAUUGACAAGGAGAGGUGGGACCUGCUCCAGCUCAAUGGCCGUGACUGCCUGUUCUGCAAAGAAUCGGCAAAACUGGUGUCACAGGGACUCUGUUGGCGCUUCCUGAAGGACGGCAAUGCCGUUGAGAAGCCGGCAUUGAGCCCCCAUAAAUUGGUAGCUGUGGGUAGUAAGUAUUAUUCACAUUCUUUCAGGUUUGUUUGUGUGAUGUUUGUAAGAAUAUAUGUAUUACACUGAAAUGAUUAAUUUUGUAGAUGCAUUUGAGUUAUAUCUUUCGAGGUGUGGUGCCCCUGAGGACGAGAAGAAAUUCUGGUGCUCGAAAAUGAAUGGAUGCCUAGAGACAUGCUGAGAGACAUUAAGUAAGCGUGUAAUUGUAAACAUGUGUACAUGCAGUAAACCUCGUUAAUUUGAAUUCGUAGGCGCCAUGGAAAAUCUCAGAAUUAUCCAAACACAAUAACACGAUUCAGGCAAAAAAUUUCAUUACGACUUUUUGUUGCUACUUUUCUUUGCAACAACACGCCACUUUUAAAUGACGAAUUUUUGAUUACUGAAAGUAAUCAGCGAUCCUGGUUUGUCGCGUCCCGUAGUUCGUGGCUCCAAGGAUACUGUUUUCCAGCAGGACAACUGCCACUUUAAUCGCAUAAUCAUCGCACCCCUCAACUGGGUGGCAUAAAAGUUUGUUUCCCCCUUCAUGCAUUGACGGCACUCCAUACGUACUGUUGCAGCAAAUGAUGACAGCAUUAAUGACACAUGUUCGCUACUUUGCAAGGUGUCCAUUGCACAUCACGCUUCAACCCUUUCGUGGUCAAAGACAUGAACAUACUUCUCCGUGAACAAAUCCACAAUGUUCGAGGUCAUACAUUUACGAUGCCGGCUGCAUCUUUAAAAAUGUGCUUAUGCUGUAACGUUUUUUGUCCUGCAUGUGCUGGCACUGUGCAGGAUACAGGGAUUUUUUUUUGCGCCGACAGUUUGUCUUUUUUUUUCCCCUCGCCGGUGCGUCUGCUACCGCUGGCACAUCUGGGCGCGCGGUGGGUAGUUCCAGUUUCGCCCCACAGGCAGUUCCUGCCUCUUGCACUUGCACAACUGAUGGAUAACUGGUUUCCAUUCUCAGAAAGGGUGACAGCAUGAUACCUGCUGAUUUAAUGCUCACAGCUGUUCGAAUACAUCCUUUCCCAGGUGGGCACUGGCACAAAAAAAUUAUGCUGCCGUGCUUGCAUUACCUUCUUUGUUUUUACGAAGACUCGCAAAAUCAUUGCUUAUCGGUGCCAAUAAGAUGAAGGAUUAGCGGUGGUUUCUCACUCUUCGUUUUCUGACGAGCGUACGAACUAGUUAUCCUGAGUGCGCUCACCUACGCAGUUUAAUUACACUAUUGACGAAUUAUGCUGUAAAAACGAAAAAAGAAUUUUCCCAAUUUAUGGUUGCUCUGAAAAAAUUACGCUAAAUUUUUUUUCCAAAUGGAUCUCACUGAAGAAUUCAUAAACAUGUAUAAAAAUACUCUUGAAGGGCGCAAUUAGUGAAAAAAAUCCGCCUUCAAAUGGUUACAAUUGCUUUGUGCUGUUUUGCUAUGCACCGAUAUGUGCAAGUUACACGUAUGUCAUUAUGAAAGCUUUUGAGUGUGCGCUUGAGCUUAGCAAUCGUGAUUCUGGCAGACAAGCAGGAAUAUAGCGCUGUCCUGCAUUAUUUCUCGUAAUGGUGACAUUAGAUGCACCGUGUCUUGAAACAGGGCAUAGUAGACAACAUGUAUCCGAUCCACAGCGGAAGGUUCGAAUUAUCGAGGUUUUACUGCAUGUAGUUGUGUCAAUAAAGUGUGUACCAGCCAUUCAACGUGUGUAUAUAGAUUUGCAAAUAAAGUGUUUUCAGUGAAUAAUGGCUCGUUCCUUUAAAUGCAGGCACACAUUACCACAGGUACAUUGCAUGUCUAAAGGAUUAAGUUUUAGAGGGCAUGACGAGG